UACGUAGGGGGCAAGCGUUGUCCGGAUUUAUUGGGCGUAAAGAGCGUGUAGGCGGCCUGAAAGGUCAGCUGUGAAAACUCGAGGCUCAACCUCGAGACGUCGGUUGAAACCAUCUGGCUAGAGUCCGGAAGAGGAGUGUGGAAUUCCCGGUGUAGCGGUGAAAUGCGCAGAUAUCGGGAAGAACACCUAUGGCGAAGGCAGCUCUCUGGGGACGGUACUGACGCUGAGACGCGAAAGCGUGGGGAGCGAACAGG
rnacentral:rRNA from 1 species